rnacentral:rRNA from 1 species
AACGAACGCUGGCGGCAUGCCUAACACAUGCAAGUCGAACGAGACCUUCGGGUCUAGUGGCGCACGGGUGCGUAACGCGUGGGAACCUGCCUUUAGGUUCGGAAUAACUCAGAGAAAUUUGAGCUAAUACCGGAUGAUGUCUUCGAACCAAAGAUUUAUCGCCUUUAGAUGGGCCCGCGUUGGAUUAGCUAGUUGGUGGGGUAAAGGCCUACCAAGGCGACGAUCCAUAGCUGGUCUGAGAGGAUGAUCAGCCACACUGGGACUGAGACACGGCCCAGACUCCUACGGGAGGCAGCAGUGGGGAAUAUUGGACAAUGGGCGAAAGCCUGAUCCAGCAAUGCCGCGUGAGUGAUGAAGGCCUUAGGGUUGUAAAGCUCUUUUACCCGAGAUGAUAAUGACAGUAUCGGGAGAAUAAGCGCCGGCUAACUCCGUG